AUUGAACGCUGGCGGUAUGCUUAACACAUGCAAGUCGAACGGCAGCAUGGUCUAGCUUGCUAGACUGAUGGCGAGUGGCGGACGGGUGAGUAACGCGUAGGAAUAUGCCUUGAAGAGUGGGACAACAUGGGGAAACUCAAGCUAAUACCGCAUGUACUCGAGAGAGUAAAGCUGGGGACCUUUAGGCCUGGCGCUUUAAGAUUAGCCUGCGUCCGAUUAGCUAGUUGGUAGGGUAAAGGCCUACCAAGGCGACGAACGGUAGCUGGUCUGAGAGGAUGAUCAGCCACACUGGAACUGAGAGACGGUCCAGACUACUACGGGAGGCAGCAGUGGGGAAUAUUGGACAAUGGGGGGAACCCUGAUCCAGCAAUGCCGCGUGUGUGAAGAAGGCCUGAGGGUUGUAAAGCACUUUCAGUGGGGAGGAGGUUUGGAAGGUUAAGAGCUAUUCAAAUGGACGUUACCCACAGAAGAAGCACCGGCUAACUCCGUGCCAGCCGCCGCCGUAA
rnacentral:rRNA from 1 species